AGUCAAAGUCGAUUUCGCGGUCCGAUUGCUUUUAGGCUGGCUAAAAAAAAAAAAAAAAAAAAUCACGAACAAUACAACCAGACUGGGAGAUAAAUCUCUCGAUAAGAGAAUGAAGUCUUCAUAGCCAGCGUCCAAACGAGAUACCCUGUCAAGAUUUUUAUCUGUUUAAUUGCCGGCAGCCAUUAAAAGGUAUAUUCGACCGAUGGAAACGCUUAACCGAUUUAUUCCUCGCAACGUACAAAAUUAUCGAUCCGACUGUGACAGUCCACCCGCGGAAAAUUAAUUUCUUAGCCGCCCCCGUUUUCGCGUGCGCUUAAUAACCCCGCACACCUCGUUAAUUACCAUUGGGGCAGCCGAAAGUCACGGCGCAUUUAUCACCAUGUCGAAGUCGAACCCGAGGAGGAAAGAGUACAACGCCAUCGAUUUUCGUUCGCAAUUUCUUGCAGGGUGAAAUAAGAUUAUUCGGGCGAAGCUAAUCAAUUUGCCGAAUUCGGUUAUGAACAAUUUUUAAGCGAUCCACGUUCGAAAACAAGCUGUUAACUCGUUAUUAAUGGCGUGGUAAGCUGCGAAACAUUGACAGUUGAACGGCCAUAGCUUUUUCACGUUUCCUCGAUCGAUGUUAAUAUUCUCAAUUUGUAAUAAUCGUAAUCCAGUAGCUCGUCUAUACUAUUUUAUUUCUAUAGGCUAUUUCGUUGCCUAUUUCCGAGUUGGAGAUUAAAUCUUAAGACGUUGAAGCUCGGAUGACUCAAAUAAUCCUCCGUUGCUGUAUUUUGUUUCUCGAGUGUUUCAACUUGAAAUUUCGUCGACAGUUUCCUAGUCGAACGGCAUGAGGAUUAAUAGAAAAGCCGUGUGUGUCUGACGUGCACAAGUUCUAAUUUUGUUACCAUUCUCUUAGUCGCGUUUCAGUGCCCAUCGUGGACGUAGCAAUUGCGUCGAAGAACAUCGGUUCCCGCUACGAUCUAUUACGAGUGCUCUAUUUUAAUAACGCGUCAAAAACCGACGAGGUCGUUGGACAGAAUUUCAAAUGUGUUCACAAGUUGCAGUUACGUAAUAGAGUAGGUUGUCGGUACUUAGAAGAAGACGAAAGGAUUUCGCGAUCGUACGUCGCGACGAUACGACAGUGUAGAAGAAUAAAGGAAUGACAGCGAUGCGUUGAGACACCGCCAUUGAUUAACAACGUCGGCUUUGCCUCCAUCUGAAUCACAAGCGAGGCAUCGUUUUCCUGUUCGUGAGAACGUCGAUUCAGCUUCCAUUACAUUUGAAGAUCACAGGAGAAAUUAAUUUUAUUAAUUUUCUAAUUUUAUGCUUGAAAAAUAGCGUCUUAACGUUAGCGUUUUAGCGAACAGUAUUUUUUAUUCUCCUUUAAGGAAUAGGAAAUAUUCGGCAGUUUUCAUUUGUGAAAUAUUCGUACAAAGAACGGUUUGAUGCGUUUCGAUCGUCGAACAAAGGAAAUGUAAGAAAAUUGGACGAGCAAGGGGACAUCGUAAAGGCGUGCUCGAUGCCGCAAUAUCGGAAAGGCGAAGUCGGAUUCGAUUUGAAACCUUCGUACGUGAAUGAAACGCGGUUCGAUCGAUCACGAGAAAUGUAUCUCUUUUGUAAGCUGUCGAUGACGCGCGCUCCACCGCUCGGUAACACAAUAGUUUAGGCGGAAGAAGGACAUUGGUAGCAGGUAGUUAGCGCUGAACGAAAAGCGAAGUAGUAGGAAGAGGAAGUGUGGCACACCGUUGGAGAUCGAUGGUGUUUAUUGCAACCCCGUCGAGCUUACUGGAUUCAUCCAUUACCUUCUCUAUAUCUUUCGCCGGCGAGCUUGUGCUUUUAUCGGAUACCACUUGCAAACAGAAGCUCGAUGCAGCCGAUCGCUUGUAGUGCAUGAACGAAAGAUUCGCUUCCGUUAAGUGCAAACGGUAAACUCUAAAGGUUCGGCAACUGGGCAUGCUACUGGCAAACGUGGAGAGGGCUUGUCUGUUACUAACGGCGAUCCACAUUUUACUCGAUAAGGGCGCCUACGCCGAGACAUUCACCCUCGGGUAUAUCACCGGUUCGAAAAGACGUCCAGGCGACUUGGAGUAUCAGCGUCCUGGUUACCGGAUAUCCGGCGCCAUAUCGCUCGCCGUGGAAGAGGUGAACGCAGGUGAGCUCGGUCGACGCGGGCACAAGCUCGACUUCCUGGUCGCGGAAACUUAUGGCGAAGAGGAGACCAGCAUCCUGAUGACCGCCGAUCUUUGGACGAAGAAUAUCAGCGUUUACAUAGGACCCCAGGAAACUUGCAUCCACGAGGGCAGAAUGGCGGCGGCGUUCAACCUUCCAAUGAUAUCUUACUUUUGUACUCAUCGCGAAUCGUCCGACAAGAAGGAAUUCCCCACGUUCGCUAGAACCAGACCACCCGAUACGCAAAUCUCCAAGUCCGUCGUUUCCGUGCUGAUGGCGUUUAACUGGACGAAAGUGACGUUCAUGUACAUGAACUCGACCCUGUUCGAAUUUAACAAGAUGUCAACGAUCGCGGAGACGAUUCUAUCGUCGUUCGACUCUGCAGGUGUGACAGUGAACUUUCUUCGUUGUUGGGAAGAACCAUAUCACGUCACGCAUAUGACCAAUCCGUUCCACAAACACGUCAGUGAAACAUAUCGGGAAACGCGAAUUUACGUGAUUCUAGGGAAUUACUAUGAACACAUGGGACUGCUGAUGGCUCUGGACGAAAGGAAGCUCUUGGAAAAAGGCGAGUACUGGGUGGUCGGUGUGGAUAUCGAGCAAUACGACGAGAAACGACCGGACAAGUACUUCCGUGGUUUAUGGCAGAAGAAGACCAACUCGUCGAUCCUGAAGGCGUAUCGCAGCUACUUCAGCGUGGUAGCCAGCGCUCCAAUUUACUCGAAGAAUUUUACACGAAUGGUGAAUCAGUACAGGCAAAAGCAUCCGUUUUAUUUCACCAAUCCACUGGCCAACAUGGGUGGAAUUAUUCAGAUCGUGCCAGAAACGGCGUAUCUGUACGACGCGGUGCAUCUGUACGAAAGAUCGUUGCUAAAAGCUCUGGACGAGAAUCGGGACCCUCGAAACGGCCGUGAAAUGGUGGCGACUCUUUACGGCGUUCACUAUCGAAGCGCCAUGGGAUACAUGGUCUACAUGGACGAAAACGGAGACGCUGAAGGCAAUUACACUCUGAUUGCUCUGGACAAUCGACCGACAAAGGGACACGGUUUAUACCCUAUAGCUUACUUUGUGGGAAAAGAGAACGGCACGAAUCUGCCAAAACUUCGAUUGACAAGGGAUAUUUCGUGGAUCGGUGACGGGCCGCCCAUCGCCGAGCCUCAUUGCGGUUACCACGGUGAAAAAUGCACUUCUCACACGGGAGAAAUCAUGGGCGGUAUAGCCGGCGGAUUUCUGUUGAUUAUCGCGGCGGUGCUGCUGGUGCUAUACAGAAACUGGAAGUACGAGCAGGAACUGGAUUCCCUACUCUGGAAGGUGAACUACAAAGACAUUCAGAUCAAAGAGAAGAAAGACGAGUCGUCGGGAGCCAAUGAGGCGCCUACCAAAUGCAAUUCCAAGACAACGACGCAGCCUAUUGUGAGAACCAGCCAAGUUUCUCUCAGCUCGAAUCCAGAUGCUGAUUUUCGUUACUCGAUGAUUUACACGCAAAUUGGUGUUUAUAAGGGGCGGAUAUUCGCCGUAAAGAAAGUUCGCAAGAAAUCGAUCGAAAUUACACGGGAGAUGAAGAAAGAGCUGAAAGUGAUGCGAGACUUGCGACACGAUAAUUUGAACGCUUUCAUCGGAGCCUGUACCGAUCCACCGAACAUAUGCAUCGUCGUGGAGUAUUGUGCUCGUGGCAGUCUCAAGGAUAUCUUGGAGAACGAGGACAUGAAGCUGGAUAAUAUGUUCAUGGCGUCCUUAGUCGGAGAUAUAAUCAGGGGGAUGAUCUAUCUGCACGAGUCCGUCAUAAAAUUUCACGGUUCGCUGAGUACGUCGAACUGCUUGGUGGAUUCUCGAUGGGUUGUAAAGCUGGCGGACUUUGGAUUGCACGAAUUCAAAAAGGACGCCGAGUGUGAGCCGUGUGACGUCAUGAAGAAGUAUCACGGUUUGCUAUAUCGAGCGCCCGAAUUAUUACGAUCGACGAAAAGCCAAGAGCCAAUAGUGCGAGAUUAUCAGAGAGGAGACGUUUAUUCUUUCGCUAUAGUGUUGUACGAACUUCAAGGAAGACACGGCCCUUUUGGAAUUACGGAAUUAACCCCUUCGGAGAUAUUGAAGAAAGUAAUCGCGAGAGAACCUGAUACAGAGCCGUUCAGACCACCGUUGAACCAGUUGGAGAACUGUUUCCAUUUCGUGCGCGCUUGUCUGAUGGAGUGCUGGGCCGAGGAUCCUGAGACUCGACCAGACUUCAAGAUCGUUAGAAACAAACUGAGACCUUUGAGAAAGGGCAUGAAGCCAAACAUAUUUGACAACAUGAUGGCCAUGAUGGAGAAAUACGCGAAUAAUCUGGAAGCGCUGGUCGACGAACGAACGGACCAAUUAACGGAGGAGAAGAAAAAGACAGACGCGUUGCUGUAUGAAAUGCUACCGCGUUACGUGGCAGAGCAAUUGAAACGGGGACACAAAGUUGAAGCUGAAAGCUUCGACAGCGUUACAAUUUAUUUCAGCGACAUUGUCGGCUUCACCGCCAUGUCUGCCGAAAGCACACCAUUGCAGGUGGUGGAUUUUCUGAACGAUUUGUACACCUGUUUCGAUUCGACGAUAGAAAAUUACGACGUGUACAAAGUGGAAACUAUCGGCGAUGCUUACAUGGUGGUAAGCGGUUUACCAAUUCGAAACGGUAUUCAGCACGCAGGAGAAAUAGCCAGUAUGUCCUUGUGCCUCCUAGAAGCCGUAAAACAAUUUACAAUUCGACACAGGCCGCUGGAUAAGCUACAACUACGAAUCGGUAUACAUUCCGGUCCCGUGUGCGCCGGUGUGGUCGGCCUAAAAAUGCCACGUUAUUGUCUAUUUGGUGAUACCGUGAACACUGCUAGCCGCAUGGAAUCCACUGGAUCUGCUUUAAAAAUCCACUGCAGCAGAGAAACGAAGGAACUCCUAGACCAAGUUGGCGGUUUUAAAAUAGUAGAAAGAGGGUUGGUCUCCAUGAAGGGCAAAGGCGAGCGUUUAACCUACUGGCUGAUCGGCGAAGACCCGAUCCUGCGAGAAGAACGAAGCAGGGAACGAGAGAAUCGAAGAAACGGUUACGCCAGAAACAAUUCCAACCCUCUGAUACCACGAAGCUCUCUUAAAAACAAAUCUCUCGUAAGAUCGACUUUCAUGAGGUGCUCGAGCGAAUCACCGAAACGAUUACGAUUUGCGAGCUCGGAUCAACUGGACCAGAAGUGUUCUGGCGCGAACAGUCAACUGGAGUCUAUCGUCGACAACAGUCCGUGCAAGCCGAAAAGGUCUUGCGCAACGAGGCCUUCGUGCGUGGAUAACUGGAGAUCCUCCAGCAACUCGUGUCCGUGCGUGGAGAAAUUGUGCGAACAAGAAACGCAAAUCGACGUGAAAGAUCUAACGCGGCAUCGAUCUGACGCGAACAAUUCGCCGCUACGAUCGAACUGGACGAUCGGUAACGAGCCUUAUUUCCCGCGUGCAGGGGUCAAGAACUUGCGACUUGGGCCGGCCGGGAUCGCGCAGACAGCCUGCAGAUCCGCGCCCAGCAGCCCGAGGCACAGCACUCUGAUCUUAAAUUGUCAGAAACGAGCGGCGCAGUCGAACGAGGAGAUAGACGGAUGGGACGCUACCACGCCACUGAUUUAUUAUCCGGGAGGACGAUUGGAUUAAGGAGCUGGCUGCCUGGCCACGGGUGCAGCUCCUAUCUCGAGUCGGUUUGGAGCGCGCGAUGUCAACACAACAUCGAGGUGAUUUAGUUGUCGAAGAUCGAAUCAGUGCUCGAUUGUAUGUAUAUCGAAGUUUUGAUUGUUCGUGUUGAGAGACGGGAGCGAUGAAAGAUCGAAGAGUUAAGGUGAAGAGUUCAAGUGAGAGUAAAGUUUGAUUGGUGCGAUUAAUUUAAUGGGGAACCAUGGUUGUUUUCGAUGAAUGAAAGUCGUCGUGCGAAGCUCGAAUGGCUGAACAGAGCGAUGCUUCGAUAAUUGCGGAAACUCGAAGGAUAAGGAGGUGGCUGUCAGAAGUUCAGGCUGAAAGCGCGAAGAGUAUCGAUUGGCAGCAGCAUGCUUUCAAUAUAGCGUUCGAGUAUCGACGAUCUUCUCCCUGAAGUUACUCUGCCAUGUUGCUUAGGUGAGCGGGAGGGAGGCGGUGCUGACCGG